GGCGGCACCCAUUGGCUCCCACGAGGCGCCUGCGCGUUGCGCUGUAUGAGCUUCCUGCCAAUCGGCACGUGAGACUACGCGGUGACGUCAGCGUUGCCUAAGCAACCCGGGCACUCUCGGGGAGUUAGUGGACCGCCGACCUGUGACCGGAGCUUUCGUUAGAUCGUCACCUGUACCUGCGAAAAAGCCCAAACUUAGCCUCGUUUAAGACAUACCACAGACGCUGGACUCUUCUGAAAAACCUGUCACGUCGGCUUGGUCUCUCUUGCUUGUAAACAUUGAUAACUGGAAGCAAAUAGAAUGCUUAUUGUAAAUUCCACUCCAUUGCCAGAAUUGGAGGUAGGGAGUCUUCUAGAAAGUUACUUGAGUCCCAGUGUUCAUUGGUUACCAAUAAAGCUUUUUCACUCAAAUGCUAAAGUGAGUCAAGCCUUAACUUUGAAGCAAAGGCCCCAAGUAGAACUAUUUCAUUAGAGUCACCCACAUUCUCUUCUCAUGAGUACCACUUAAACUGCCUGCCACCAUCACUGUUGAUGCUGAUUUUUCGGUAUAGGUCUUUAUUUAUUCACCCAGGCAAAGAUGUCUUUUCAAGGUAAGAAAAGGUGUUGGGGGUCAAGAGAGCCCCACAGUGAAAUUGACGGAACUCCAAAGUACUGUAAUUUCAGAAAUGCAUACACAUACACAUUCUCACAGACUUAUUCCACUAAGGUGAUUGUGUUGGGACAAGUUUGGCUGUUUGCCAUACCCAUAACCAAUAUUCUCCAAUCAUUUCAGGUGCUUUAACUGGUCUAACUCAUUGUAUAUUCUUUCCUUAUGGUGAAUUCUUUUCUGGCAAAUCCCCUCCUAAAAUCUGACUUCCGUUAUGGCCCCCAAUUCUCUGUCAGUUAGGUAUAUCUCAACCUCAAUUGUGGAUGGAGUUUAAUUAUUUUUCUCCUGGAAGGCUCUUGGCCCCAGGGCAAAGGAUGCAAAUAGAUACAAUAUAAAGGAAUUUACUGUACUCCUAUACUCCAAAACAUCUAGUCCUAAUCCAAAUUGACAUACCAAGAGGGAAGUUGUCUAACUCCACUGACCAAAAGCAUCUGGGCUCCAAUGGGUAUAUAGUUAGUUAAUAAUAUAAAGAGAAAAGUUUGUUUGUCUCAUAAAAGGUCCAAUCUGAGGAAUCUGAAGAAUUUCCACCUGCCCUAUAUUGACAUAGGAUAAGGACCUGCCAUGACCACCAGGAUGGAAGCAUGAGUGGAAUUUAGAAUGAGCUAUUUAUUCUUCUUGAGUUACUCUUCUAAAAUGGAGCUGUGACCAUGGAGAGAGUUCAGAGGGAUAGAAAAGACCACAAAAAAGACAAAAGAAGAGGGUGAAAGGCAGUAGAAGGGACUCCAGGAUACUCAUCUUGCAUGGUCUUCUGAUAUCUAACAUCUCUACAUGCAGACUGGGGUGGAGAGAAGAUAAACAACUUGCUCAGACAUACGGUAAAAGGUUGGAAUAUACCAAUAAAUAUGCUGUUGCUGCUUUAACAAGCCACUUCCUUUUGUUGCCAUAUUCAACCAAAAUGUAGAUUGCUAUAGCCUAAGAAACCACGUUGGACUAAAGUGGUGAGAACCAAAAUCCUUGUCUUGCUCCUGAUCUUAGGAGGAAAGCUUUCAGUCUUUCACCAUUUGUUUUCAGUCUUCACCAUACGGCCUGGGCUAGUCUCCUUGAGGAUGAGAGACCACGUGGAGCAGAGACAUGAACCACCCAGCCUGCCUGUAGCCCAUCAGUGUGAAGGAGGCCACCUGGGACCUCCAGCUCCAGCUGACGCACCAGCUGCCUGCAG
ensembl:lncRNA